GGGCUAUUAACUCAGUUGGUUUAGAGUGUCACCUUGACAGGGUGGAAGUCACUGGUUCGAAUCCAGUAUAGCCC
rnacentral:tRNA from 1 species